CGAGGAGGUAGGGCUUACGCUUGCGUUUGUCUGUUAUAUCUUGGUGGACGAGUUGUCGCGGUUGGGACUGAGGUGCCUACAACGUGCUUUUGAGUGAGUUUGUGUCUCCGUGUGCGCCGUGUGUGGAUAGCUUGCUAUGUAUGUGCGGUUGUGUGUGGAUUGAUGCGGGCUUUAACUUGUUGCCGUUCGGGACGUUGACGAAAUGGAGCGAUCCGACCCGUCUUGAAACACGGACCAAGGAGUCUAACAUGUGUGCAAGUGUUAGGGUGUGGAAACCCCAGCGCGAAAUGAAAGUGAAGGGCAGCGCAAGUUGUCUGAGGUAGGAAACGUUGUGGACUUCGGUCUGCGGCGUGGCACUAUCGACCGAUCAUGAACCUUCGUGGUGAAAGAUUUGAGUUUGAGCACAUAUGUUGGUACCCGAAAGAUGGUGAACUAUGCCUGAGUAGGGUGAAGCCAGGGGAAACUCUGGUGGAAGCUCGUAGCGAUUCUGACGUGCAAAUCGAUCGUCAAACUUGGGUAUAGGGGCGAAAGAAUAAUCGAACCAUCUAGUAGCUGGUUCCCUCCGAAAUUUCCCUCAGGAUAGCAGCAACUUAUUUACGAUAGUUUUAUGAGGUAAAGCGAAUGAUUAGAGGAUUCGGGGAAGAAACUUCCUCGACCUAUUCUCAAACUUUAAAUCUGUAAGACCUGCAGGUUUCUUAAU
rnacentral:rRNA from 1 species